UAAGGUAUAAUUUAUUAGUAAAAUAUUUCGUUUACACUGAAAUUUUUCUUGUGCAAAUCAAGAUAUCUUGA
rnacentral:tRNA from 1 species